GCGUUGUGAUUCUUGUCUGCUUGUGGCUGUGCGGUGUUCUCCUGCUUCGUCUCCUUCAAGAGAGAUUGCUACUCUUCCAGCCGUAUUCAGAGCCUCCCGUCGAGCAAAACAUCUACUCCGUGUUAGUUCUACUGGUGUAUUACUGUUCUGAUGGUACAUCGAUUCUCCACCUGUCCUCAAUGAUCCCGCUACCUGCUCCUACUGGAAUCGUCUGCUCCGCUACCUGCCUGCCUGAUGCCAACUCUGCUUCCUCCCCGACCACAAGCCCUGCCUGCCCCUCUCUGGAGUCCCUGCUUUUCCACAAGCUCCCUGCUAUGGCGGAAGGCCACCAUCAUCCCCGGCUAAUUCAGGAAGGAAGAGUGUUCAGACAUUUCUGACGGGAAGCAGCAAGUGACCUUUAAGCUGGAAAUGCUCGGCUGGUAUUGCGCCCUCGCUGUCUUUUUUCAUCAGAUCUGGAGGUGCGGAGCAGAGACACAUCCUUUAGCUCAGGAAGAGGAUCUACAUUCAUAUCGUAAUGCCUGAUGCAUCACCACAAUCAUCCCACACUAACAC